UCUGGACGUGAUCAGCACCUUCAAAGCAGUAAAAAAGAUUCCAAAGAAGCUCAGAUAUCCCUUAAAACCAUACAGGUUCAAGAUUAUUCAAGCUCACCCUUUGCAAGCUAAAUCCCCACAAUCACUCCAACGGCUAGUUUCCGAUUUUGUGUCUUUGGAGAUUUGUUUUCUUUCUUUUUACUUUAUGAACGUUUUGUUUAGAUCUUUCUGAGCAUUAUAUAAGCUCUCCUAUUCCUUCAUUUGUAGGCACCCUCGAUCUUAAGAAUUCAUAAAAGUUUGUUUUGUUUUUAUCUAAGUUUAUCUUUGAAUAAAAUCGAUUGUCUUUAGGAUUCAAAGAGUGAUUCUUUGCUGUCCUAUUGAUUCGUGGUUCAUAGGUUCAUUGAGAGAUUCAGGAGCCUUGAAGAUCACAGAUUGAGAGAGUCAAUCAACACCCACGGAUUGAGAGAAUCAAUCAACUAUCCAUCACCAUCUCCACCACUGAUCAUCAAUCUUCUAUCCAUCAACCAUUCCAUCCCUCUAUCCUUUUUAUUUCUUUUAUUAUCUUAUCAUUCAUAAACUCAUUGUUCUUCCUUUGUUUCAGGUUAUCUUGAACGUGAAAGGACAGUAUUUCAUCCAUCAACCACCUUCAUCUCUACCGAUUUCUCAACCAUCACCAUAUCAUCGACCAUCUCACCAUCCUAGCUUCUGGGGCUGUAUCAAUCUCUGAUACCAUGAAAAUUUCUCCAACAAUCUUGCUUGACGUGCCAUUAGAUUCUUUGAUCAUGAGUGAAGAAAUAUUUGGCCCUCUCCUGCCAAUCCUCACGCUCAACAACCUGAAAGAGUGUUUUCACGUGAUUCAUUCUCGACCCAAGCCACUUGCUGCGUAUUUGUUUACCAAAGACCACAAGCUGAAAGAGAGAUUUGCCAAGACAGUUUCUGCUGGAAGCAUAGUAGUUAACGACACAGCUGUUCAUGUAAGAUAACACUAGUCAUAUAUAUAUAUAUAUAUAUAUAUAUCUCACUUAUAAGCAGUUUUAUCAUAUUACUAUUUAAAGCUUUAUCAUCAUCUGAAUAUAUUUGAUAUGUCCAGUUUACACUUCCCACAUUGCCAUUCGGAGGAGUCGGUGAAAGUGGAAUUGGUUCUUACCAUGGUAAAUUCUCAUUUGAUGCAUUCAGUCACAAGAAAUCUGUUCUCUUCAAAAGCUUUUUAGGUGAUUCAGCCAUCAGGUAUCCACCAUACUCUAGAAAAAAGUUAGACUGUUAAAGGCUCUUGUCAACAGCAUAUCUAGUGGACACAUUCAAAGUCCUUUUAGGUUUAUCUUAAAAGGAUCGAUGAUGACAAUGAGUUAUAGAUAUAUGUAUUUGGUUGUUAAAGAUACAUGUAUGUUGAUGAAUAAACCAUUUGAGA